rnacentral:rRNA from 1 species
AUUGAACGCUGGCGGCAGGCUUAACACAUGCAAGUCGAGCGGGGAAAGGUAGCUUGCUACCUGACCUAGCGGCGGACGGGUGAGUAAUGCUUAGGAAUCUGCCUAUUAGUGGGGGACAACAUCUCGAAAGGGAUGCUAAUACCGCAUACGUCCUACGGGAGAAAGCAGGGGACCUUCGGGCCUUGCGCUAAUAGAUGAGCCUAAGUCGGAUUAGCUAGUUGGUGGGGUAAAGGCCUACCAAGGCGACGAUCUGUAGCGGGUCUGAGAGGAUGAUCCGCCACACUGGGACUGAGACACGGCCCAGACUCCUACGGGAGGCAGCAGUGGGGAAUAUUGGACAAUGGGGGGAACCCUGAUCCAGCCAUGCCGCGUGUGUGAAGAAGGCCUUUUGGUUGUAAAGCACUUUAAGCGAGGAGGAGGCUACCGAGAUUAAUACUCUUGGAUAGUGGACGUUACUCGCAGAAUAAGCACCGGCUAACUCUGUGCCAGCCGCCGCCGUAACAC